AAAUUAUUUCAAUUUUCUUUUACAAUACUAUUAAACUAUUAUUAAAAUUAUUUUUUCUUUAAUAAAUACUAAAACAUUAAUUUUUAUAAUUAUUUUUAAUAAUUUAUAAUAAAAAAUUUAUAAUCUAAUAAAUAAAAUUUAAUCAAUUUAUAUUGAUUUGCACAAAAAUCUUUUCAAUGUAAAUGAAAUGCUUUACUUAAUAAGCUUUAAAUUGCAUUCUAGAUACACCUUCCGGUACAUCUACUAUGUUACGACUUAUCUUACCUUAUUAAUAAGAGUGACGGGCGAUGUGUACAUAUUUUAGAGCUAAAAUCAAAUUAUUUAUCUUUAUAAUUUUACUAUCAAAUCCACUUUCAAUAAAAAUUUCAAAUUUAUAUCCAUAUAAAUAAAUUUAUUGUAACCCAUUUCUACUUAAAUAUAAGCUACACCUUGAUCUGAUAUAUUUUUUAUUAAAAAAUUAUGAAAAUUAUCAUUCUUAUAAAAUAUUCUAAUAACGACGGUAUAUAAACUAAACAAAUUUAAGUAAGGUCCAUCGUGGAUUAUCGAUUACAGAACAGGUUCCUCUGAAUAGACUAAAAUACCGCCAAAUUUUUUAAGUUUCAAGAACAUAACUA
rnacentral:rRNA from 1 species